GGUCCCCAUGGCUGCCACAGUGUCGACAGCAUCCAGGCAAGCUCAGGAGCCUUAUGUCAUGGAUGCCCCAACCAGAGACUGUGCGCAUCUGGAGCUGGGGCCACACUGGACCAGCCAUGGAGGAAAUCAGAGAUGAAGAUGAUGAGACACAGGAUCUUGGUGCUUGCCGUUUGGAAAAAGCACAUUCAGUGCCCACCUCACCCAUGGCCUGGCCGAGGAUGGAGACACACAGGUCGCUCUUAUGGACAUCGAUUUCUGUGGACCAUUGAUUCCCAAGAUUAUGGGCUUAGAUGGAGAGCAGGUUCACCAGAGUGUCUCCAGCUGGUCUCCAUUGUACGUGGAGGACAACCUGGGGGAUGAUGUCUAUGAGCUUCCUGCUUAGUAGCCCUGAUAGUGCUGUCAUCUGGAUGGGACCAAAGAAAAACGGUAUGAUCAAGCCAUUCCUCCGUGAUGUAGACUGGGGAGAUGUCAACUACCUCAUCAUAGACACUCCACCUGGAAUGUGCAAUGAACACCUCUCUGUGGUCCAGUAUCUGCCCAUGGCACACAAUGGUGAGGCGGUGAUCCUCAUCAUCGUUCAGGAGGUGGCCUUCCAGGAUGUCCGGAAAGAGAUCAGUUUCUGCCACAGGAUGAAGCUGCCCAUCAUCGGUGUGGUUGAGAACAUGAGCAGUUUCAUCUGCCCCAAGUGCAAGAAAGAGGCUCAGAUCUUCUCUCCCACGACUGGGGGUACAGAGGUCAUGUGCCAGGACCUGAAGAUCCCUCAUCUGGAGUCACAUGAUGAGAACCUCAUCUGUCUGACGUGGGACAGAAUCAAUUGCCACCUGUUAACCACAGAGCUGGUAGGCCAUGUGUCCAGCCAUACCUGGUUAGUGGGGGACAGGUGGUGUCACAGCCACCAGAUGCUCACAAGAUUUGAACUCACUUAUUAA